UACGGAGGGUGCGAGCGUUGUCCGGAAUCACUGGGCGUAAAGGGCGCGUAGGCGGCCUGAUAAGUAGGGGGUGAAAUCCUGCGGCUUAACCGCAGGGCUGCCUUCUAGACUGUCAGGCUAGAGCACAGUAGAGGCAGGUGGAAUUCCCGGUGUAGUGGUGAAAUGCGUAGAUAUCGGGAGGAACACCAGUGGCGAAGGCGGCUUCCUGGCCUGUUCUUGACGCUGAGGCGCGAAAGCUAGGGGAGCAAACGGG
rnacentral:rRNA from 1 species